rnacentral:tRNA from 3 species
GUCUACGUAGCUCAGAUGGAUAGAGCGACCGCCUCCUAAGCGGUAGGCCGGGGGUUCGACUCCCCCCGUGGACACCA